UUGAAGUCUACUAUUUUUAUCUUGUGCACUUCAGUUGACUCACGGCUGGUUCUUCUUUGGUUUCUGGUCUGACUGAUCCAGGUAGUGGCCCACCUUCCCCAUUCCCAGGUGUCCAGAGCCCCAGAGAAUGAUAAAGUGUAGGGACAUGCUGGCAGCUACCCUGGUACCAACCAGCCCGAUUGCAGAGCCAAGGAGGUGGAGCCAAGAAAUGGAAGGAGCGGCUCUGUUACUAGGUUGGGCUCAGCAGAACUGGCAGUUGUGCCGAGGGACCCAGCAGCACCAGCGGACCCAGGGCUGCCUGACAGAGGGAGGCCCGCGCGGAGCGGAUGAUAACUGGGCCUCUUCCGUGGGCGCGUGCGAGGUACCUCCCGGAGGCUCCGUGAGAAACUUGAGGUGGGGGUGCGGCGGGGAACGUGGAGGGAACUGAGGUCGUGCACGGGUAGAGGGGGCAAGAGCUUGCAAAAUAAGUAACCGUUAUGUAUGCCCUGUAAUAGCAGGUCAAACCACCCUGUGACUUCGCUCUCUUAGGCUGCUCAUAGCACCACGCCGGCUUGUCUCUUGGCUUGCCUUCCCCGUAUCCCUCCUUCUAAACCCUGCCCUCCCUGGGAGAAACGCUCCCUGCUGCAGUCACGCCUGCCCUCUGUCUUCUCGGAUCUUUUGAGUACUCUUGCUCCUGAUGAUUUCCAUGCUGUCUGUAAUCUGCUUGCAUGCAUCUCCCCCGCUAUACUCUGAACAACCCGAGCUCAUAUUUUAUUACUCUGAACUGAGCAUCAUAUAAAUGUUUGUUAAAUUACCAACUGUUUGCAUAUACGUGUGUGUGUGUGUGUGUGUGUGUGUGUGUGUUUCUAGCUCUGUCUCAGAAGUAGAAAACAUUUAGAACCAGAAUCUGGUGGAGCUGCCACCCCAUUUCAUUCGCAAGAUUUUUGCAGGUUCAAUAUUGAGCUUUCCUGAUUUCUGCUUUACUGGAAAAAAAAAUCAGUUUCCCUUGUUAUUUUUCUAGACAAGAGGGGAUAUGGCUAGAAAUUGAGGGCAUCUGACUAGGUUUUUUGAUUCAGUGACCUUAAUCUCCAAUGCCAGAAUUAAUCUUUCUUUUGUGAAGACCACUUAGUUGAGAAAGGGUUAAUACUUAGGCUACUUCACGAACAAAUUGACUCAUUCAGGAAGGGAAAAAAAAAUUCUCGCAGAAAAUUGGAUGUCAGUGGAUUAUUCCCCUUCAGAUCCAUGGAUUAGUGUGCGUGGGGAGGGCAUCCAAGUGGAAAAAAAUGUAAUAUCAGUGUAUUUGAGGGCAGUGCCUGCUCCUCCCAUCACCUCAAUUACAGUCUCUUUAUCAUAGGCAUCAUAUGAUGCAUGUCUUGCUGCCUACUUCACUUAAGCCUAUUACAAAAAAUUUUUUUAUUGAAUAUUUGAGAGCUCUUUAGAAUGAAGAUACACUGGCAUCAGCGUUGACUGAAUCAGUGCUCUCAUUUUUCUCUCUCCCCCGAACACUGGCAGUUCAAGAAUUCUUUAAGAUGAGGAGGACCUUAAAAUAUGAUCCCUUACUUUACAGCCUUAUCAUAAAAAAUAAAUUUUAUGUAGUGAAGAUAAAUGAGCUUGUAAACUAUAUAAACAUGAAUUUUUCUUUAAAAAAAAAGAUUCACAAUGUAUGAGUCUCAUUGAAAAAGAUAAAUAUUAGGCUUAGUAAGCCAAAAGUGAAGUUACUGAAUAAUAAAAAAAGAAGAUCUUUGAGGUAUCAGUGCGCUUUCCCUUGAUCAUUUAAAUAGCCCUGGAUGCCUCAUGGAGAACUUUGAAAUGCACUCUUCAUUACUAAUGACAGUUUCAUGGAAGCAGAUACUUUUUAUUUAACAGUCCCUCUCUCUCUCCUGCACGCUCUUCAUCUUCCAUCACAAAAGGUCGAGGACAAGUUUAAGUUUUCACAAGGUGACUAAUAAAAUAAUAGGCCUGAUGGAUAUUUCAGGACCAUGGCUUUUUCCUCUCAGCUCGUGGACACAGAAGUCCUAGGGAUAUUGGCUGGAGGACAUGUUUGCCGUAAGGAAAUGGGUGGGGAGUCAUUAACGCCUCCAAGAGGAGCCUCCGCUAUUGAUCUUUGGGAUCCUGAACAUUUCAAUCAGAGUAAGAUCUUGGUGUCAUCUGGGUGUGUGAAAGCCACAGUCAGGGUGGCAGGUAGGACCCCGUGAUGCCAGGCAAAUGCUGGUCUGAAGAAUGAUGAUGACACAAAAAGAAAAUGGGACUUGCCUCUGGGGGUGAUGAAGGAGAGGGUGUGGAUGACCAAAGAGUAGGGCUCUUGGACGUUCGCUAGGUCUGGGCAGGAAAUCUGUGACCUAUUGCCUGAAUAAAACGAUUUUUUUCCGAAGAUGCUUUUAAUGUGCCAACUGUUCCCGUGUACACAUAUGAGCAGUUUCUCAGACUCCAGUGUCCUCUGAAUCAAGGAAGUUCUCCGGGGAAAAGCUUCAGUGGCCAUCAGAUGUUGGCACCAGGUACACCUGCCAGCCCCGAGUGAGUGGCCAGCCCAAUUUCUCACAAGGCAUGCUGCCCUGUGGAAGAAUGGCAUGUUACCAGCUCCCUGGCAUCUGAACAGGAUCAGACAUACAUCUCACCAGCAAGAGGAGAUGAAAGCGAAAAUAAAGUGUGAGGAAUCCGAAGGAAGUUGCAGAAUGCGUGGCAGAUGUUGUUAGAUUUGUCUAGCGAAGCCCAGGUGCCAAGCAUGUGAUUGAUGACAUUAGCAAGAGAGGUUAAUAGCCCUGGACGGCACUGCUUGGGAUUUUUCAAAGUAAGCACAGAGCAAAUGCUAAGGCCGCAGCAGGACUGGCCAAAUGAAGCAAGUGGGACUUUCAAAACAAAUAGCAUGUCGUCUGCUUACGUAGCAUCAAUGGUUGAGGCAAAGGAGAAGCAAAUAGUCAGUGGUCAUUGUGAUGGUUGGGGAGAGAAGGGUCCUCUGCUAGCUGACUCCCCUGAAGGUGGUAGGUUUUGAGUGACAGGCAGGUUACUAUGAAUUCUGCAGGAGGCAACGACAUGCUUAGUUUACACCGUGAAUAUUUUGGCCUUAAUUUAUGCUGUGAGCAAUGGCUGAGCCCAGGUUCAUUAUGUGCCCACUGAAGAUGAUUUAUGUGGGUUUCAUGCACUUGGACUUUAAUUAUUCACAUGAUUAUCAAUAAAAAAUAAGGGCAGAACAGUGUUGAAUGUGAACUGGUUGGCAGGGGCAAACAGCUGAUCGCAGAGACUAAAUUUAGACAAGGAGGGGAGAACACGGCCUUUUCCUUCACAUCAGGUCUGAGAACGAAUUCAUAAGCAGAGUUUGCACUUUUCCUCCCUUUUUCACAAACAUCCAAACUGCCAACCUGUUAAUCAACUCCCUGAUGGCAGACAAAUGUCUCUGCGAAGCAUGUGCCAAAUAUCAAUUGUUAUUGGCGGGAACUCAAUAGGAUGAAAUAAAUUGAUGCUGCCAUUCUAUUGCACGCAAUGCAAUCGCUGAUCGAUAGUGAGUAAUUGGACAUCCCACUGUGACGAGGAGAAUGCUGAAACAGGGAUAUGGCAAUGAGUUAUGGUGCAUAUUAAUCACUGUCUAACCGUUUCAUCAAUGUAAUUUCCUUCCAACAACCUGCUAAGGUAGCUAACUCUAUGGGGAGGGAGACCCUCCCAUUUUCCCCUGCAAGUAUUAAUGUGAAGGUUAAAACUGCAUAACUCAAGAAAUAGUUUCACACACUUGACUUGGUGUGUGUCUCACUAUGUU